GAAAUGCGAUAAUUAAUGUGAAUUGCAGAAUUCAGUGAAUCAUCGAGUCUUUGAACGCACAUUGCGCCCCCUGGUAUUCCGGGGGGCAUGCCUGUCCGAGCGUCAUUGCUGCCCUCAAGCACGGGUUGUGUGUUGGGCUUCCGUCCCUGGCAACGGGGACGGGCCCAAAAGGCAGUGGCGGCACCAUGUCUGGUCCUCGAGCGUAUGGGGCUUUGUCACCCGCUCCCGUAGGUCCAGCUGGCAGCUAGCCUCGCAACCAAUCUUUUUAACCAGGUUGACCUCGGAUCAGGUAGGGAUACCCGCUGAACUUAAGC
rnacentral:misc_RNA from 1 species